GAGGCAGGAGAAUUGCUUGAACCCAGGAGGUGGAGGUUGCAGUGAGCCGAGAUCGUGCCACUGCACUCCAGCCUGGGUGACAGAGUGAGACUCCAUCUC
rnacentral:miRNA from 1 species